UGAGGAAUAUUGGUCAAUGGGCGAGAGCCCGAACCAGCCAAGUAGCGUGCAGGACGACGGCCCUAUGGGUUGUAAACUGCUUUUUAAGGUGAAUAAAGAGGGGCACGUGUGCCCUGUUGCAUGUAGCCUUGGAAUAAGGACCGGCUAAUUCCGUGCCAGCAGCCGCGGUAAUACGGAAGGUCCGGGUGUUAUCCGGAUUUAUUGGGUUUAAAGGGAGCGUAGGCCGCAGGUUAAGUGUGUUGUGAAAAGCAGUCGCCCAACGUCUGCCUUGCAGCGCAAACUGUCCUGCUUGAGUGCGCACAACGCAGGCGGAAUUCGUCGUGUAGCGGUGAAAUGCUUAGAUAUGACGAAGAACUCCGAUUGCGAAGGCAGCUUGCGGGAGCGCAACUGACGCUGAAGCUCGAAAGUGCGGGUAUCGAACAGGAUUAGAUACCCUGGUAGUCCGCACGGUAAACGCUGGAUGCCCGUUUUUGGCUUAUUUUAAGUCAGAGACCAAGCGAAAGCAUUAAGCAUCCCACCUGGGGAGUACGCCGGCAACGGUG
rnacentral:rRNA from 1 species